UGGGAGUGACCAACAUUGGUUUCAUGUGAUGUUCUAUUCUCCACCAUAUCUCCAACUCCAAACCCAUCACCAUCGCCCUUGAUCAUGUUUCCACAUCCACCACAGCCACCACUCUUCACCAUGCUUCCACAUCCACCACAGCCACCACUCUUCACCAUGCUUCCACAUCCACCACAGCCGCCACUCUUCACCAUGCUUCCACAUCCACCACAACCACCACCACCGCAGCCUCCACAACCACCUCCACAGCCUCCACUCUUUACCAUGUUCCCGCAUCCACCACCACAGCCGCCACCACAGCCUCCACUUUUUACCAUGUUCCCGCAUCCACCACCACAGCCGCCACCACAGCCUCCAC
rnacentral:lncRNA from 1 species